UAAAUAUGACGCUGGCGGCAUGCUUACCACAUGCAUGUCAACGGCAGCACAGGUAGCUUGCUACCUGGGUGGCGAGUGGCGGACGGUAGUAACGCGUAUGAAUUUACCUUUUUGUGGGGGAUAACCCGGGGAAACCCGGGCUAAUACCGCAUACGCCCUACGGGGAAAGCGGGGGACCUUCGGGCCUCGCGCAGAGAGAUGAGCCUGCGUCCUAUCAGGUAGUUGGUGAGGUAAUGGCUCACCAAGCCGACGACGGGUAGCUCGUCUGAGAGGACGACCAGCCACACUGGGACUGAGACACGGCCCAGACUCCUACGGGAGGCAGCAGUGGGGAAUAUUGCGCAAUGGGGGAAACCCUGACGCAGCAACGCCGCGUGAAGGAUGAAGGUCUUCGGAUUGUAAACUUCUUUAGUCGGGGACGAAAGAAAUGACGGUACCCGAAGAAUAAGCCACGGCUAACUACGUGCCAGCAGCCGCGGUAAUACGUAGGUCGCGAGCGUUGUCCGGAAUUACUGGGUGUAAAGGGCGUGUAGGCGGGGGUACAAGUCAGAUGUGAAAUUCUGGGGCUCAACUCCAGAGCUGCAUCUGAAACUAUACUUCUUGAGUGCUGGAGAGGAAAGCGGAAUUCCUAGUGUAGCGGUGAAAUGCGUAGAUCUUAGGAGGAACA
rnacentral:rRNA from 1 species